rnacentral:rRNA from 1 species
CAAGUCGAACGAUGAAGUUCCUUCGGGAAUGGAUUAGUGGCGAACGGGUGAGAAACACGUGAGAAACCUGCCUUUCAUUUUGGGAUAACUCCGGGAAACCGGAGCUAACACCGAAUACUCCGUCUCGGCGGCAUCGCUGAGCCGGGAAAAAAUUUUGAUGAAAGAUGGUCUCGCGGCCUAUCAGCUAGUUGGUGAGGUAAUGGCUCACCAAGGCGACGACGGGUAGCCGGCCUGAGAGGGCGACCGGCCACACUGGGACUGAGACACGGCCCAGACUCCUACGGGAGGCAGCAGUGGGGAAUAUUGGGCAAUGGGCGCAAGCCUGACCCAGCGACGCCGCGUGAGGGAUGAAGGCCUUCGGGUUGUAAACCUCUUUCAGUAGGGAAGAAGCGAAAGUGACGGUACCUAAAGAAGAAGCACCGGCUAACUAUGUGCCAGCAGCCGCGGUAAUACAUAGGGUGCAAGCGUUGUCCGGAAUUAUUGGGCGUAAAGAGCUCGUAGGUCGUUUGCCACGUCGAUUGUGAAAAUCUGAGGCUCAACCUCAGACCUGCAGUCGAUACGGGCAAACUAGAGUGUGGUAGGGGAGACUGGAAUUCCUGGUGUAGCGGUGGAAUGCGCAGAUAUCAGGAGGAACACCAAUGGCGAAGGCAGGUCUCUGGGCCAUAACUGACACUGAGGAGCGAAAGCGCGGGGAGCGAACAGGAUUAGAUACCCUGGUAGUCCGCGCCGUAAACGAUGGGCACUAGCUGUGAGAACCUUCCACGGUUUUCGCGACGCAGCAAACGCAUUAAGUGCCCCGCCUGGGGAGUACGAUCGCAAGAUUAAAACUCAAAGGAAUUGACGGG